GCAUCGGUGGUUCAGUGGUAGAAUGCUUGCCAGCCACGCGGGCGGCCCGGGUUCGAUUCCCGGCCCAUGCA
rnacentral:tRNA from 1 species